AGGACGAACGCUGGCGGCGUGCUUAACACAUGCAAGUCGAGCGGAAAGGCCCUUCGGGGUACUCGAGCGGCGAACGGGUGAGUAACACGUGAGCAACCUGCCCUUAGCUUCGGGAUAGCUCCGGGAAACCGGAAUUAAUACCGAAUAUGACUGCGGCUGACAUCAGCCACGGUGGAAAGUUUUUUCGGCUAGGGAUGGACUCGCGGCCUAUCAGCUAGUUGGUGAGGUAACGGCCCACCAAGGCGACGACGGGUA
rnacentral:rRNA from 1 species